rnacentral:rRNA from 1 species
AACCUGCCCCUCGCUCUGGGAUAACCCCGGGAAACCGGGGCUAAUACCAGAUAUUCAGCUCCGCAGGCAUCUGUGGAGUCGGAAAGGAUUCUGGCGAGGGAUGGGCCCGCGGCCUAUCAGCUUGUUGGUGGGGUAAUGGCCUACCAAGGCGACGACGGGUAACCGGCCUGAGAGGGCGACCGGUCACACUGGGACUGAGACACGGCCCAGACUCCUACGGGAGGCAGCAGUGGGGAAUAUUGCGCAAUGGGCGAAAGCCUGACGCAGCAACGCCGCGUGAGGGAUGAAGUACGUCGAGAUGUAAACCUCUUUCAGCAGGGACGAAGCGAAAGUGACGGUACCUGCAGAAGAAGCGCCGGCUAACUACGUGCCAGCAGCCGCGGUAAUACGUAGGGCGCAAGCGUUGUCCGGAUUUAUUGGGCGUAAAGGGCUCGUAGGCGGUCUGUCACGUCGGAUGUGAAAACUCAGUGCUUAACACUGGGCCUGCAUUCGAUACGGGC